ACCCUAUUAGCUCAAAUGGAUAGAGUGGCGGAUUUCUACUCCGCAGGUUGUAGGUUCGAAUCCUGCAUAGGGUA
rnacentral:tRNA from 1 species